rfam:Aspergillus glaucus CBS 516.65 unplaced genomic scaffold ASPGLscaffold_70, whole genome shotgun sequence.
GGGGUGAUGGCGUAGUUGGGAGCGCGUUCGACUGAAGAUAUUCAAAUAUACCUUCGGAAAAUCGGAAGGUCGCUGGUUCGAUCCCGGCUCACCCCA